AUUGAACGCUGGCGGCAGGCCUAACACAUGCAAGUCGAACGGUAACAGGAAGAAGCUUGCUUCUUUGCUGACGAGUGGCGGACGGGUGAGUAAUGUCUGGGAAACUGCCUGAUGGAGGGGGAUAACUACUGGAAACGGUAGCUAAUACCGCAUAACGUCGCAAGACCAAAGAGGGGGACCUUCGGGCCUCUUGCCAUCGGAUGUGCCCAGAUGGGAUGAGCUAGUAGGUGGGGUAACGGCUCACCUAGGCGACGAUCCCUAGCUUGUCUGAGAGGAUGACCAGCCACACUGGAACUGAAACACGGUCCAGACUCCUACGGGAGGGAGCAGUGGGGAAUAUUGCACAAUGGGCGCAAGCCUGAUGCAGCCAUGCCGCGUGUAUGAAGAAGGCCUUCGGGUUGUAAAGUACUUUCAGCGGGGAGGAAGGGAGUAAAGUUAAUACCUUUGCUCAUUGACGUUACCCGAAGAAGAAGCACCGGCUAACUCCGUG
rnacentral:rRNA from 1 species